UCUUAGCUUUUGAUAUAUAUAUAUAUAUAUAUAUAUGCAUGGCCUUUUAUAUGCACAUCAUUAUGGGAUGGUAAGGCUUUUGGGAGUGGAAGAUGUACGUGCCCAGCGGCAAGCUCUCCCUCUUUACCGACCUCCUUUGUGACCCUGUUUUCCGUGUUCGCACUCGACUCAUGCUUCCCUCAUGCUGGUGGUUUAGAUGGGCGAACAGAAAGAGAUAGUUGGCACGAUUAAAGAUAGCAUCAAGAUUGCUACUUGCAGC